rnacentral:lncRNA from 1 species
CCGGCUCGCCGCUCGGCCGCCUCGGCCCGGCUGCCCGCGCCCCGCUCGGCGCGCCGGCUCCGCGGCCCCGGCCCGGCCGCCUCAGCUCUCGGCUCCGCGGGCUCCUCAGCCGCCGCCUCCGGCCCCNGGCCGGCGCGCGCGGGCGGGGCUGGGUCGCGACGGGCCGUUCCGGGUCCGACCGGUGGGCCGGGUUCGGAUGGAGCCAGGUGCGGGCGGGCGGUGCGGGUCCCACCGGUGGGCCGGGUUCGCACGGAACCAGGUUCGGCUGGGCGGUACCGGGUCCGACCGGUGGGCGGGGUUCCGACGACAGAACUGGGUCUGGCCAGUGGGCGGGGUCGGGCGGGCGGUACGGGUCCGACCGGUGGGCGGGGUUCAGAUGGAACCAGGUUCGGGCGGGCGGUACGGGUCCGACCAGUGGGCGGGGUUCCGACGGGCAGAACUGGGUCUGGCCAGUGGGCGGGGCUCGGGCGGGCGCUACUGGGUCCGACCGGCAGACCGGGUUCGGGCGAGCUUGCUGGGCGGGCCGGCAGUGCGGGAGGGAGGGGACGCGGCGAGCCCCUUGGGGUGCCGACCGCCCCGCACCCCGCGGUCCGGCGCGGGCUCCGGUCCGUCCCUUCCGAGGAGCGCGCGUCAUCGCUGCGGGUGUGGACUGGGGAUCGUGCAGCGCCCCCGGCCGGGUGCCGGGCCCCGCGCCGCGCGUGCUUCUCCCGCAGUGUCGGGUCGGCAAGGCCGCCUCGCCGUGUGUCUCCUUGCAGAGGGUCCGCGAGCGCCCCACGGACUCGAGGCAGCACAAAGUUGCAGCCAUGGGUCCCUUGAGGCGCCUCUGGGCGCAGGGAGAUGCUGCCUCCGCCGCCUGACAGCCUCCGAGUGUCCUGGUGCCUGUGCAGACCUAAGCAUGGAGAUGAUUUUUCUCUCCACCAAUUGGAUCUCUUCUUUUCUGGGAAAGACCAGAGAAUUGUGCCGACCCUGCUGGGUUUUGUCUUCAGCCCUCGUUUCUGCGGCGGAGAGCAGUACAGCUUCAUAAGGCGGCUUUUCAGCAGAGAAGCCUGCGGUGUUGAACCAGUGCCACGGGGGGCGGGGGAGGGGGGGAGAUUCUUCAAUAGAGCUCGUCUUCUUUCUCAAAAUUAAAGUGGUGACUUGCAGAAAAGCAUAUGUGUAUAAACGACACGUCCAUGUUCUGACAUUCUGUUCCUUUAGGGCUUUUAGUUCCUGUGCUUCUAUAGAGACUGAAGUUGGUUUUUUUUUUUUUUUUUUUUUGGUUUGUUGGUUUGUUUGUUGUGGGGAACGUCGCCCUGUCCAUACAGCUCAGAACUGUCUAGCUAGGUCGCACACAUGCCACGUGGGUUGUCAGCCAUAGUGUCAGCUGAAUUGUAACAGUAAGAGCUUUAUUCCUGAUGAUGCUAUUACCAAGAAUGACUUGUCUCUUA